AUGUGCAAUAUCUGGCAAGUGGAAGCCCAAUUAUUUUCUGGCGCGCGAGACUCAAAAAAGACACAACAUAGCUUGGUUACAAGUAAUUAUUUUGUCAUCCAAAGCAACCGGGGGUUUCAAUGCAAAUCGAAGCAGGCUAAUUUCCAAAUAUCAUUCGCAAGCCUGUCCUACCUUACCAUGAAGACCUCCAAAGCGCAAUCUGAGGCUUCAACACAGGAGGAGUGUGGGGUUUGGCUGGACACUGUAGACCUCAAAGAAAAGGCUAAACAGAGAAGGCCAUUGCGACCCAUCUCAAAACAACUGAAUCCUCUGGCCCGGUCUGGAGGCUACAGCUUAGCAGUGGCGCUGAAUUUUACACAGACAAAAAUCCAGAUUCCUGUCAACAAACAGAGCUCUAUAUCCUCAUUCUUUACCCCACAGCGCAAAGUAGCCCAAAAGGCACCUGCGUCUCCAGAGCCAAGUACACCUUCCACCUCCACCAGAUGUGCCUCAACUUCACUCAGGCGUGUUAACAUUGGGAGUGGAACCAAACGGAAACGUGCAGCGGGUUUAGAGUCAGGGGCACAGAGUACAGGAGCUCAACCCACCACCCUACAGAUGAGCCCGGAGCGAGAGAAUGCUGCAGGCUGUGAGUGGGACAGGCAGAGCUUCAGGGAAAGAGCAUAUUGGGAGGUUUCCCAUAUGCCCCAUCUUAACAUGGACCAUCAGUCUGAGGAGAUGGAGGAACCAGACAAAAAGAGAAGGCUCUCUGUGAAUUCCUCUCCCCCAGUAGAGACUGAUACUCAUGAGGAGGAGUGCCGUAAGGACCAAUGGAGUGCCUGUAGCAGCCCACAGUAUAGUCAAGAUCUAAGUGAACCAGAUUCUGAGGGGCAGUGUGUUCUGACACACCAGGAACUCCUUGUUGGAGUAAGACAGGCCAGUGACUCAGGCACUGCUUUCCCGGAGAGCCUGCAGAGUGAGGGUGGAUUCAGGGCUUGGCUGGGUGCCCAGGAUAGAAGCUCCACCCAGAAAAGGGCUGUCCCUUCUCAUUUGAUAUCACAGCAGGUAGAAGGGAAAGAGAACGACUUACCACGAUCAAUGUCUUCGCCAUCCCCAAACAAGAUGUCUCCUCCUCUCAGCCCUGUUUCCACUCACAGAUGGACGAAACCACAUCUUCCAUCACCACAGAUACAUGUUCUAGAACAGUCCAUGAAACGUGUUCUAGAACAACCAUUGAGAGAGUGUGAGGGAGACACUCUUGCCAUGCUGUUCACACAGGACUCUGAGGGCUUCAGGGUGAUUGCACACCGUGCUCUGGUAUCAAGAAGCCCAAUAAAGGACCAGACUAAUGUAUUAGCUAGUGGUAGAGACAGUAUAUUUGCUGCUGAUAAAACCCUGCUGGAAGAGGAAGGAGAGGAGUUGCUCUUCACCCAAGACUCUCAGGGAAACAUGGUUAUCAAACACUGA
rnacentral:lncRNA from 8 species